rnacentral:misc_RNA from 1 species
UGGGCAACAAGGGGUGGCCUGGAAAAGAUUGACUGGAGCAAAGCCCCAUUCUAUGCAUACUACAAGGACUUUGACAUUGAAGGAUGUCCAGUCCCAGGACCAGCAAAUUGUGCCUCAAACCCCAGAAACUGGUGGGAGGGUGCUACUUACCAAUCCCUCAACGCCGUAGAAGCUAGGAAAUAUAGGUGGGUUCGUAUGAACCACAUGAUCUACGACUACUGUACUGACAAGUCUC